rnacentral:rRNA from 1 species
CUGCAUGGGUGGGGGUGGAAAGAUUUUUUGGUUCGGGAUGGGCUCGCGGCCUAUCAGCUUGUUGGUGGGGUGAUGGCCUACCAAGGCGUCGACGGGUAGCCGGCCUGAGAGGGCGACCGGCCACACUGGGACUGAGAUACGGCCCAGACUCCUACGGGAGGCAGCAGUGGGGAAUAUUGCGCAAUGGGCGGAAGCCUGACGCAGCAACGCCGCGUGCGGGAUGACGGCCUUCGGGUUGUAAACCGCUUUCACCCAUGACGAAGUUUUUUAUGACGGUAGUGGGAGAAGAAGCACCGGCCAACUACGUGCCAGCAGCCGCGGUGAUACGUAGGGUGCGAGCGUUGUCCGGAAUUAUUGGGCGUAAAGAGCUUGUAGGCGGUUUUGUCGCGUCGGAAGUGAAAACUCGGGCU